rnacentral:lncRNA from 1 species
GAAGAGCAUAGAGUCUAUUUGGGCGUUGCACACCAGUAGCACUGAAAGCGGCACUCUACUGAUUUGGGUGACCGGACUGGGUCGUGGAGCGAUUCUGCUGGCCCUGUAGACCUUACUAUGGACACGCUCUAAUUCUCUGGACUGGCUUGCCACAAUCGAAACAAACAUCUCUACCAGCUCUACAGGCACCCUUGUGGUUCUUACCACAAGUCUAACACAGG